rnacentral:rRNA from 1 species
UACGGGAGGCAGCAGUGGGGAAUAUUGCACAAUGGGGGAAACCCUGAUGCAGCGACGCCGCGUGAGUGAAGAAGUAUUUCGGUAUGUAAAGCUCUAUCAGCAGGGAAGAUAAUGACGGUACCUGACUAAGAAGCCCCGGCUAAAUACGUGCCAGCAGCCGCGGUAAU